GCAAGUCGAGCGGUAGAAGAUUUAGCUUGCUAAAUCUUUGAGAGCGGCGAACGGGUGAGUAACACGUUGGUAUCUGCCCCCAAGUCAGGGAUAGCCAUUGGAAACGAUGAUUAAUACCGGAUAGUCUCUUCGGAGUAAAGAUUUAUUGCUUGGGGAGGAACCUGCGUUCUAUCAGCUAGUUGGUGAGGUAAAAGCUCACCAAGGCGACGAUCCCUAGCUGGUCUGAGAGGAUGAUC
rnacentral:rRNA from 1 species